GUUAUAGGGGAUCUACGGGGUGUCUAAAAGGGAUUGGGGCCGUUAUAGGGCAUCUAUAGGGUAUCUGAAGGGGGUGGUGUGGUUAUAGGGGAUCUAUAGGGUGUCUAAAAGGGAUUGGGGUGGUUAUAGGGGAUUUGUAGGGUAUCUAAAGGGGGUUGGGGUGGUUAUAGGGUAUCUAUAGGGUGUCUGAAGGGGGGUGGGGUGGUUAUAGGGGAUCUAUAGGGUGUCUGAAGGGGAUUGGGGUGGUUAUAGGGGAUCUAUGGGGUGUCUGAAGGGGAUUGGGGUGGUUAUAGGGGAUCUGUAGAGUAUUUAAAGGGGAUUGGGGUGGUUAUAUGGCAUCUAUAGGGUAUCUGAAGGGGGGUGGGGUGGUUAUAGGGGAUCUAUGGGGUGUUUAAAAGGGUUUGGGGCAGUUAUAGGGGAUCUGUAGGGUAUCAAAAGGGGUGUGGGGUGGUUAUAGGGGAUCUAUAGGGUAUCUAAAGGGGGUGUGGGGUGGCCGGAGGGGAUCUAUGUGGGGUGUGGGGUGGCUAUAGGGGAUCUAUAGGGAUAUGGGGUGGAUAUGGGGUAUCUAUAGAAAAUCUAUGGGGGGGUGGGGAGGUGCCUAUAGGGGCAAGAGAUACCCUAUAGGAUCUGGGGGUACCUGUAGGAUCUGGGCAAUGCCUAUGGGGUUGGAUGGUGCCUAUAGGGGCAGGGGGAACCCUAUAGGAUCAAGGGUGCCCUAUAGGAUCUGUGGGAUGCUUAUGGGGUUGGGCGGUGCCUAUAGGAUCUGGGGGUGCCUAUAGGAUCUGGGUGGUGCCUAUAGGGGCAGGGGGUGCCCUAUAGGAUCUGGGGGAGCCCUACGGGAUCUGUGGGAUGCUUAUGGGGUUGGGCGGUGCCUAUAGGGACAGGGGGAGCCCUAUAGGAUCUGGGGGUACCUGUAGGAUCUGAGCAAUGCCUAUGGGGUUGGAUGGUGCCUAUAGGGGCAAGGGGAGCCCUAUGGGAUCUGGGGGAGCCCUAAAGGAUCUGUGCGAUGCUUAUGGGGUUGGGCGGUGCCUAUAGGAUCUGGGGGUGCCUAUAGGAUUUGGGCAAUGUUUAUGGGGUUGGGCCGUGCCUAUAGGGGCAGGGGGAGCCCCAUAGGAUCUAGGGGUGCCCUAUAGGAUCUGUGGGAUGCUUAUGGGGUUGGGCGGUGCCUAUAGGAUCUCGGGUACCUAUAGGAUCUGGGCAGUGCCUAUAGCGGCACAGGGAGCCCUAUAGGAUCAGGGGGUACCUAUAGGAUCUGGGCAAUCCCUAUGGGGUUGGUUGGUACCUAUAGGAUCUGGGGGUAUCUAUAGGAUCUGGGUGGUGCCUAUAGGGGCAGAGGGAGCCCCAUAGGAUCUGGGGGCAACUAUAGGAUCUGGACGAUGCUUACGGGGUUGAGCGGUGCCUAUAGGGGCAGGGGGAGCCCCAUAGGAUCUGGGGGUGCCCUAUAGGAUCUGGGCGAGGCUUAUGGGGUUGGGCGGUGCCUAUAGGGACAGGGGAUGACCAAUAGGAUCUGUGUGGUGCCUAUAGGGGCAGGCGGAGUCCUAUAGGAUCAGGGGGUGCCUAUAGGAUCUGGGCAAUGCCUAUGGGGUUUGGAAGGUGUGUAUAGGGGCAAGGGGAGCCCUAUAGGAUCUGGGGGAGCCCUUUAGGAUCUGGGGGAGCCCUAUGGGAUCUGGGGGAGCCCUAAAGGAUCUGUGCGAUGCUUAUGGGGUUGGGCGGUGCCUAUAGGAUCUGGGGGUACCUAUAGGAUCUGGGCAGUGCCUAUAGGGGCAGGGGGAGCCCUAUAGGAUCUGGAGGUGCCCUAUAGGAUCUGGGCAAUGCCUAUGGGGUUGGGCGGUGCCUAUAGGAUCUGUGGGUACCUAUAGGAUCUGGGCGAGGCUUACGGGGUUGGGCGGUGCCUAUAGGGUCAGGGGGAGCCCUAUAGGAUCUGGGGGAGCCCUAAAGGAUCUGUGCAAUGCUUAUGGG
ensembl:lncRNA